rnacentral:piRNA from 1 species
UGGACUGACAGAUGGACGACACAUAUGCUA